AGGCAGAGUGGGUAUCCUCGCUCAAAAGCUAAACAAGAGUAGCGUUACAUCUACCCAACAAACCGAACCAAAAAAGGGUGAAAAAGUUUUGACUCAAAACUAAUGAACGGUGGGAGCAAGUAAACUGGAUGAGAACAUAACGCGUCUUAUGCAUCAAGAAUACGCGUGGAGGAGGACUUGAUCAUUGGAACUGGCUACCACAAGAGCCUCUUCCUCUCCAGUCUCCAUCUUCUGUGGUUGUGAUUGGGCUCUCUCUCAUCUCCGCUCCUCUCCUCUCAUAGCCUUGUUCGGGUUGUGUUGCAGAGCUCGGGGUGACAUAAAACCAUAAGAGCCUAAAAAUGGGUUACAUUGUGGUGAUAUCACUGCCUGUGAUACUGUUCAUCUUGAUUGUAGCAUUGGCAUUUUACCUUCUUGGAAGGGCACAGGGUCGAAGCCAAGCAGCAAGAAUUCCGCAUUAUGGGCCUCCAGCACCUCCAUUACAUGCCCCGUCUCCACCCCAGGAUAAAUCAGCACAGGUCUAGAAUUAUGGUUCUUAUGUGCCUGUGACAAUUUGGGUCGUGGAAGUACAGAUCUCUCUAGUUGCAUUUUUGUGCUCAGAAUGGUUCUUAUGAGUUAUGUGUUUGUGUAAUGUCUAUUGCAAGAUGUAGAGAACGGUGACAAGAAGCUGAGUUUCUGUAACGUAUGUUUAUAUAUUGUAAAUGAAUGAAUUGGUUACAUAUA